rnacentral:rRNA from 1 species
UGAACUUAAGCAUAUCAAUAAGCGGAGGAAAAGAAACUAACAAGGAUUCCCCUAGUAACUGCGAGUGAAGCGGGAAAAGCUCAAAUUUGAAAUCUGGCGGUCUCCGGCCGUCCGAGUUGUAGUCUGGAGAAGCGUUUUCCGCGUUGGACCGUGUACAAGUUUCCUGGAACGGAGCGUCAUAGAGGGUGAGAAUCCCGUCUUUGACACGGACCCCAAUGCUUUGUGAUGCGCUCUCAAAGAGUCGAGUUGUUUGGGAAUGCAGCUCAAAAUGGGUGGUGAAUUCCAUCUAAAGCUAAAUAUUGGCGAGAGACCGAUAGCGAACAAGUACCGUGNAGGGAAAGAUGAAAAGCACUUUGGAAAGAGAGUUAAACAGUACGUGAAAUUGUUGAAAGGGAAACGCUUGAAGUCAGUCGCGUCGACCGGGACUCAGCCUUGCAUUCGCUUGGUGUACUUUCCGGUUGACGGGCCAGCAUCAGUUUUGACCGCGAGAUAAAGGUGGGGGGAAUGUGGCUCUUUCGGGAGUGUUAUAGCCCUUUGUCAGAUGUCGCGGUUGGGACUGAGGAACUCAGCACGCCUUUAUGGCCGGGGUCCGCCCACGUACGUGCUUAGGAUGCUGGCGUAAUGGCUUUAAACGACCCGUCUUGAAACACGGACCAAGGAGUCUAACAUGCCUGCGAGUGUUCGGGUGGAAAACCCGUGCGCGUAAUGAAAGUGAAAGUUGGGAUCCCUGUCGUGGGGUGCACCGACGCCCGGCCCAGACCUUUUGUGACGGAGCUGCGGUAGAGCAUGUAUGUUGGGACCCGAAAGAUGGUGAACUAUGCCUGAAUAGGGUGAAGCCAGAGGAAACUCUGGUGGAGGCUCGUAGCGAUUCUGACGUGCAAAUCGAUCGUCAAAUUUGGGUAUAGGGGCGAAAGACUAAUCGAACCAUCUAGUAGCUGGUUCCUG